rnacentral:lncRNA from 1 species
CUAUCCAUAUGUAGCUGUUGACACUACCAUGUAUCAGGUCGUGUCCUUGGUGUUUUGUCAAGACGAUACCCUCGACUCUGCUAGGUGGCAUCGCUGAUGUGUAGGGGAAGAGGUGACGAUGCCAAUAAGCGCCUGUGCGUUUCACCGACUUUUAGCCUGUCCCUAAGUAAACCAGCGCCCCUUUCCAAAGUUGAAAGGAAUAUAUCCUGACGCUUCCCAGUCCCAGACCCAUGAUCCAGGGAAGAAAAAUGAAAAAAGAAAAUACAGCAGUGCUCGUAGCACUUAAAACAGUCGCUGGUGAUGUUGAUGUUAACCUGGUUGUAGUCAACUAUGGUCGUCAGUUUUCCUUAGAUAAAAGAGUCCAAGUUAGACAAGCCUACCUUGUAAGAGUCAGAUCAAGUUAUAGAUUGAAUUAGUGUUUAAACCGGAUUCUGUAAUGUUAUAAACAGAUGACGGGUGGCGUCGUGUUGGAUUCCAAUUAGGAUUCGUGUUGGGCGCGGUCUUAAUCUUGUAAGCCUUCUAUAUAAAUCAAUGAAAGGG